UCGAAUUUCCACAUUAGCCAAC
rnacentral:siRNA from 1 species